rnacentral:rRNA from 1 species
GAUGAACGCUGGCGGCGUGCCUAAUACAUGCGAGUCGAGCGAACAGACGAGGAGCUUGCUCCUCUGACGUUAGCGGCGGACGGGUGAGUAACACGUGGAUAACCUACCUAUAAGACUGGGAUAACUUCGGGAAACCGGAGCUAAUACCGGAUAAUAUAUUGAACCGCAUGGUUCAAUAGUGAAAGACGGUUUUGCUGUCACUUAUAGAUGGAUCCGCGCCGCAUUAGCUAGUUGGUAAGGUAACGGCUUACCAAGGCAACGAUGCGUAGCCGACCUGAGAGGGUGAUCGGCCACACGGGAACUGGAACACGGUCCAGACUCCUACGGGAGGCAGCAGUAGGGAAUCUUCCGCAAUGGGCGAAAGCCUGACGGAGCAACGCCGCGUGAGUGAUGAAGGUCUUCGGAUCGUAAAACUCUGUUAUUAGGGAAGAACAAAUGUGUAAGUAACUAUGCACGUCUUGACGGUACCUAAUCAGAAAGCCACGGCUAACUACGUG